GCUAAGGAGUGUGUAACAACUCACCUGCCGAAGCAACUAGCCCUGAAAAUGGAUGGCGCUGAAGCGUCGUGCCUAUACCCGGCCGCCGGCGGCAGAAGGCGCGCGCCCUCGGGCGCGCGCCGCGAAGCCCCGGUGAGUAGGAGGGUCGCGACGGUGAGCGCAGAAGGGUCUGGGCGCGAGCCUGCCUGGAGCCGCCGUCGGUGCAGAUCUUGGUGGUAGUAGCAAAUACUCCAGCGAGGCCCUGGAGGACUGAUGUGGAGAAGGGUUCCGUGUGAACAGCCGUUGCACACGGGUCAGUCGAUCCUAAGCCCUAGGAGAAAUCCGAUGUUGAUGGUCGCGGGAUGUGCUUGAGAGGUCUUUCUCUCCGGGGAAACGGCGGCUGCGGCGGCAGCAGAGUCGUCGCGGGCCCGGCCCUCCCCCCUUCGGGGAGGUGUCGGUCUUUACGCCCGCACGCGCGGCACGCGCACGCGGCCACCGCCCCGGAGCGAAUCUCGACGCUCGCACCAGUACCCCGUCCGUCGGGCGAAAGGGAAUCCGGUUCCUAUUCCGGAACCCGGUUGCGGAACCGCACUCACGAUCCUNGUAUUGACACGGUAACGUGAAAGACCCCAGAGAUGCCGUCUGGAGCCCCGGGAAGAGUUUUCUUUUCUGCCUGAGCGUUCGGGUUCCAUGGAAUCCUCUCGCAGGGAGAUAUGGAAUGGAACGCGAAGAGCACCGCAGUUGCUGCGGUGUCCGGGGAGUCCCGUCGGUCCUUGAAAAUCUGGGUGAGGGUCACGUGGAGGCGUCGCACCGGCUCGUACCCAUAUCCGCAGCAGGUCUCCAAGGUCAAGAGCCUCUAGUCGAUAGACUAAUGUAGGU
rnacentral:rRNA from 1 species